rnacentral:misc_RNA from 1 species
AAAGUCGUAACAAGGUUUCCGUAGGUGAACCUGCGGAAGGAUCAUUAAAUAACGGUUAACGUACAAGUCACUAGUCACUCACCUCACAGUUUGUGGCGAACUGAUCGUUUGUGCUGUCCGGAUGGCGCUUCGGUGUCAUCUGGGGGUGCAUGAAUGUACGUCAUACAUCAAAUCUAAUCCUGCGAUUAGAUUGUAUGAACCCUUUGCCUAUAUGUACCUCUUGUUGUUUCCUCGCCGCUCUCAGCGGCGACAGGAACCCCAUCAAACCUUUGUAUUUACAAGUAUUCAAACCUCAGAUAACCACAUAAAUUAUUACAACUUUUAACAAUGGAUCUCUUGGUUCUG